AGCGAACGCUGGCGGCAGGCCUAACACAUGCAAGUCGAACGAACCCUUCGGGGUUAGUGGCGGACGGGUGAGUAACACGUGGGAACGUGCCUUUAGGUUCGGAAUAACUCAGGGAAACUUGUGCUAAUACCGAAUGUGCCCUUCGGGGGAAAGAUUUAUCGCCUUUAGAGCGGCCCGCGUCUGAUUCGCUAGUUGGUGAGGUAAUGGCUCACCAAGGCUACGAUCAGUAGCUGGUCUGAGAGGAUGACCAGCCACAUUGGGACUGAGACACGGACCAAACUCCUACGGGAGGCAGCAGUGGGGAAUCUUGCGCAAUGGGCGAAAGCCUGACGCAGCCAUGCCGCGUGGAUGAUGAAGGUCUUAGGAUUGUAAAAUCCUUUCACCGGUGAAGAUAAUGACUGUAGCCGGAGAAGAAGCCCCGGCUAACUUCGUGCCAGCAGCCGCCGUAAGAC
rnacentral:rRNA from 1 species